GAUUUAACAAACUGGUUUCUACCACUUUCGGCCUGAAGUGACAGUGUUUUUUAACGUUGGUUGCAGGCAGGGGACUGUUGCCCCCUGCCAAGCACUUCAGCUUCCUUGCCCGGCCUCUCCUUGGCUUCUGUCUGUCCCCACCAGCAGCUCUUCAUGGGACCCAUCCUGACCCUCCAAGAAAGCAGAAAAGGAGGUUCCUGAUGCAAAACCUAAAGAGCUUUCAUCUGAGGAAGCCUCUGCCUUUUGGGUCAACACUGAGGGGAGUAAAUGAAUGGCACCUGCUCCUUCUCUGUCUGAAGCUUGGACUUCUCCUGAGAGGACUUCCUGCUCCAAGAUAGGAGGGAGUCUCACUCAGAAGAGGAAGGAGCUCCUGUCUGCUGAGGACACGGUUCCAUCCAAUGAGCCAUUCCAAGCUAAAUCCCAGGAAGUACUAAAGAAGCAAUGCACAGACACAGUAUCAUACAAUUUGAGACACAGUAUUAUAAAAUUGAUGUGAACUUCUAGGCACAGUGUGCUCACAGUCUGUCUGGAAAUAACUUUGUAGCAAGCAUAGUUCCAGUCUAGCUGCCUGGCAGCCUGGCAGGAUAUUAUUAUUACUGAUACUAAUUUACUUUUUAAUGUAAGUCUACCCAGAAUAUAUUAAAGAAGUUUCAAGAAAUCAGGAUCAUGGAUUAUAACCUGACGUAGUGCUAAGGAACCAUCAGUUCCAUGUAAGCAUUUGGUUAGCAAGUCUUUUUCAAAGGCCAUGCUUGAGAAACAGUUUUGCUCUCCCAAACAAUGUGUUGUAGUUUUUUUUAGCAUACUACUGUGCAGAUAAAUAAAUGAGAUAUUAAUGCCAUUGCAA
ensembl:lncRNA LINC02367 long intergenic non-protein coding RNA 2367